AGGGGAUGUGAGUUAGACACGAAAUAGCUCCCAGCUGCAAGAGGCCUUCUUCCAGAUGUACUGUACUGAAAAGCAACAGAGGAGAACCAGCUGCUUGGAUAACAAAUUGCAAAGGCUUUUUUGACACAAGCCACGUUGGCCUAUCUGAUCAAACAAAGAUAGAUUGCUCACUGCCAAUGAAUAGAAGCCUGCUAGAAAAGAAGAAAGGUGAGAUUGCUAUCUGGAUGAAUUUCUAUGGAAAAAUCUCUAAUGCCGAGGCAGAUUUAUACAUGAGAAAGCAGUUGUUGAAGAAUCCCAAGAAUGAAAGAACCGCUUGAUUGGAUAAUUUUUAUCUAGCUCAGCAUUUUGAUUCUAGCAGGAGCCAACUAGAUGUCCCUGAGUACUGAACAAAUGCAGAUGGAAAAUGAAGACCAAGUUCUUCAUUACCCACCAUCAUGAAUGAUUACCAUUAAUAAUCUGACAAGUUUUUGAAAGCCAAAUUAGAAAAUUUUCCCAACUUUAUCUGAUCAUCCUCAAGUUACCUUCUGUCUGCCUGUGUCUGUUUGAUUAUCUAUCUAUCUGUGUAUCUAUCUUACCUGUCAAUGUCAAAGUUUCCAGGUCUAUUUAAAAUAAUGCUGACGAUUCAGAACACAAAUUACCACUUAAAACAUCACAGCAUCAAAUACAGUUAGGUCUGAUUUUUUAAAAAUCAGAACAGCCCCACAGGAAAAGCACUUGACAAACAACUAAAUUUUGUCUCAAAAUGGAUGAAUUUUGUGUUCAGUUUACUUCCGUGUAUUAAUCAUGUGUGUAUUUGCACAUUUUGCUUUUUAACUAUAGAACAGAAGCCAGGAUGUGUAGCAAUUUAUAAUUAUAUUCUCUAUUUAUCCGGGAAGUUUUAGAGUGUUUUUACUUAUUUUAAUAAUUUUAACGUCCUACAAUGAAGGACUAUGUAACUUAUUUGGGUAAAUUGUAAUGGUAUAUUUUAUAUUGUAUGUUUCUGUGCUGUUGUAAACAACCUUGAGUCCAUUGGAGAAAGGUGAUAUAGGAAUUUCCCAAAUAAAUAAAUAAAUAAAAUGUUGAGAAAAUCCAUUGUAAAACCGAAACUAAGCUUCCUAUUCUUAUUUCAACGGAACCCUGCAUUCCAGAACACUCCAUGGUGUGUGUUAUAUUUUGAUCUAUAUUUACAAUCUAAUUUCAUUUGUAGGCCUGAUUCAUAUGUUUCUAUCGAGAAAUAGGGAACAAA